GCUUACGGCCAUACCAGCCCAAGAACGCCCGGUCUCGUCUGAUCUCCGAAGCUAAGAAGGCUUGGGCCUGGUUAGUACUUGGAUUGGAGACCUCCUGGGAGUACCAGGUGCUGUAAGCU
ensembl:rRNA 5S_rRNA 5S ribosomal RNA